AAGCAUAGCUUAAACUAAAGCACCUAGUUU
rnacentral:tRNA from 1 species